CGACGCCAGGUCCACUGUGCGUCCCAAUAAGACAGUUGCCCUCCACCAUGACAUUAAUGCGCAAGGUAUGCAGCUACAUACACUCUGACCUGUCGUCCAAGCAAUCAUCCGCAUGAAAUGCAUCUGCGCCGUGAAUCGUUGUUUGACCAUAUGAGGAGUGUGCACGUUGAAUGAAUGAAAUGUCACAGGUUACAUGGUGGAUGCUACGGCACCGACGGUGCUGGAUCCAGAGUGCGAAGGUGAGGGGAAGCAUCACAAGGGGCAUGAUCGUUCGAGGGAGUCAGAAUCGCCAAAGCCAGAGCCGUAGGUGGAGUCGCCAAAGACAGGUCUGCCUUGAAGCCACGUGCGCUUUGAGUGCCUGCAUGCCUGGCUUAAUAAUGUGCCCUUCUCCCCUGGUCCCUGCGUCGCGACAAUGAGUCAUGCUAUAUAUGGCUUUCAAUAAGGAGGCGUGUCCUAUGGUCGUUUCGUUUUCUUGGUUAUGCUCCCCUCCAUGUAUGAGCGAAUAAGUUGCUAAUUAGCUAUGAUCCCUAGACUGUGUGUCACACUUUUUCCAGUGUAGUGAUGCGUGUAUUUUCAAGGAAAAUUUGAUUUCGUCAGUUUGCUCUCAUGUAGUCAUGUGUUUGAUAUGCAUG
rnacentral:lncRNA from 1 species